rnacentral:rRNA from 1 species
AACGAACGCUGGCGGCAGGCUUAACACAUGCAAGUCGAGCGCCCCGCAAGGGGAGCGGCAGACGGGUGAGUAACACGUGGGAACGUACCCUUUACUACGGAAUAACGCAUGGAAACGUGUGCUAAUACCGUAUGUGCCCUUCGGGGGAAAGAUUUAUCGGUAAAGGAUCGGCCCGCGUUGGAUUAGCUAGUUGGUGGGGUAAAGGCCUACCAAGGCGACGAUCCAUAGCUGGUCUGAGAGGAUGAUCAGCCACAUUGGGACUGAGACACGGCCCAAACUCCUACGGGAGGCAGCAGUGGGGAAUAUUGGACAAUGGGCGCAAGCCUGAUCCAGCCAUGCCGCGUGAGUGAUGAAGGCCUUAGGGUUGUAAAGCUCU